rnacentral:tRNA from 1 species
AUCUUUGUAGUUUAAGGGUAAAACGCUGUACUUCUAAUACGGAGCUUAGGGUUCGAAUCCUUACUGAGAUA